GCCUUCUUAGUUCAGUGGUUAGAAUUUUUCACUAGUACUCGUCGUCUCUCCAAGACGCCUGCUACGAUGAAAGGGUCACCCGUUCAAUUCGGGUAGAAGGCA